rnacentral:rRNA from 1 species
UACGUAGGGGGCAAGCGUUGUCCGGAUUUAUUGGGCGUAAAGAGCGUGUAGGCGGCCUUACAGGUCAGCUGUGAAAACUCGAGGCUCAACCUCGAGACGUCGGUUGAAACCGUAUGGCUAGAGUCCGGAAGAGGAGAGUGGAAUUCCCGGUGUAGCGGUGAAAUGCGUAGAUAUCUGGAGGAACACCGGUGGCGAAGGCGGCAUCCUGGACCGACACUGACGCUGAGGAGCGAAAGCCAGGGGAGCAAACGGG